rnacentral:lncRNA from 1 species
CAGUGGUACAGAUAUUUGGUGAGGUAUAGUGUUUUCUGCCCCCUUGACAUUCUUUUAGCAGAAGGAAAUGGAGAAGGGAGGAAGAGGGAGUUAGCGCCAAUGUCCAACGAGUGCUUGUGAUGUAUUUAGAAUGUGCUUCUCCGCAGUCUGAGCCCUGGUCCACCGUCCUCUCUUGCAUUUGAAGCUUCACCCUGACCAAGACCUCACAAGUCAGCUACAAUGUUCAAAGUGUCUGAGAUUGGUCAAAAACCCCCCUCUCUGGCAAGGCCAUCUGUGCUAAGAUCAUUUCCCCUAUUUAAAUAUUUAAAAAUAUGCACUUACAUGUCUUAUAUUUCCUUCUAUCCAAAGAUAAAGCCAUUUAAGAGGUUUGGUGGUUUGGUUGGUUUAUGACAGGAAGAUGAGAACCAAAAUGUGGAAGAUAUGCUAAAAAUAAUUUAAUUAAAAGCGCAUAAAUUUUGUU